CGAGUAAAAGUAUGCAGUUCGCAGUAUCAGUAAAAAAUAGUGGGUAGUGAACUUUUUUUUGUAUUCCGUGUUGUAACCGUGAGGUCGCUUGUAAAAUUAUUUAUCACUUACUUUGGUAAGACCCCAACCUGUAGCCCUUGCGAGAACCCCACCGCCUACAAAAUCGCCCCCAAGGGCCACUGGAGAGAUGACCUCGGUGAACUUGAUUUCUAAUGCAGUAAUGAUUAGACCAAGGUCGUGUAUUCUCAUGGUGUGGUUAUAUCCAGGGUGCCUAAUAGACUUCGUAACAGAAUAUUUUGUUCCU